rnacentral:rRNA from 1 species
GUGGGGAAUCUUCCGCAAUGGACGAAAGUCUGACGGAGCGACGCCGCGUGAGUGAAGAAGGCCUUCGGGUCGUAAAGCUCUGUCAUCAGGGACGAACGGCCGGUGGAGUGGAAAGCCACCGGAUUGACGGUACCUGAGAAGGAAGCCACGGCUAACUACGUGCCAGUAGCCGCGGUAAUACGUAGGUGGCAAGCGUUGUCCGGAAUUAUUGGGCGUAAAGCGCGCGCAGGUGGGAUCUUAAGUCCAUUUUUAAAGUUCGGAGCUCAACUCCGUGAUGGGAUGGAAACUGGGAUUCUUGAGUACCGGAGAGGAAAGCGGAAUUCCCCGUGUAGCGGUGAAAUGCGUAGAUAUGGGGAGGAACACCAGUGGCGAAGGCGGCUUUCUGGACGGUGUCUGACACUGAGGCGCGAAAGCCAGGGGAGCGAACGGGAUUAGAAACCCCGGUAGUCC